rnacentral:rRNA from 1 species
UACGGAGGGGGGCUAGCGUUUGUUCGGAAUUACUGGGCGUAAAGCGCGCGUAGGCGGCUUGUCGCGUCGAAUGUGAAAUCUCGGGGGCUCAACUCCGAGCUUGCAUUCGAUACGGGCAGACUAGAGUGCGGUAGGGGUGACUGGAAUUCCUGGUGUAGCGGUGGAAUGCGCAGAUAUCAGGAGGAACACCGAUGGCGAAGGCAGGUCACUGGGCCGCAACUGACGCUGAGGAGCGAAAGCAUGGGGAGCGAACAGG